rnacentral:rRNA from 4 species
AGGGCGCACGGUGGAUGCCUUGACACUAGGAGUCGAUGAAGGACGGGACUAACGCCGAUAUGCUUCGGGGAGCUGUAAGUAAGCUUUGAUCCGAAGAUUUCCGAAUGGGGAAACCCACCAUACGUAAUGGUAUGGUAUCCUUAUCUGAAUACAUAGGGUAAGGAAGACAGACCCAGGGAACUGAAACAUCUAAGUACCUGGAGGAAGAGAAAGCAAAUGCGAUUUCCUGAGUAGCGGCGAGCGAAACGGAACAUAGCCCAAACCAAGAGGCUUGCCUCUUGGGGUUGUAGGACAUUCUAUACGGAGUUACAAAGGAACGAGGUAGACGAAGCGACCUGGAAAGGUCCGUCGUAGAGGGUAACAACCCCGUAGUCGAAACUUCGUUCUCUCUUGAAUGUAUCCUGAGUACGGCGGAACACGUGAAAUUCCGUCGGAAUCUGGGAGGACCAUCUCCCAAGGCUAAAUACUCCCUAGUGAUCGAUAGUGAACCAGUACCGUGAGGGAAAGGUGAAAAGCACCCCGGAAGGGGAGUGAAAGAGAUCCUGAAACCGUGUGCCUACAAAUAGUCAGAGCCCGUUAACGGGUGAUGGCGUGCCUUUUGUAGAAUGAACCGGCGAGUUACGAUCCCGUGCGAGGUUAAGCUGAAGAGGCGGAGCCGCAGCGAAAGCGAGUCUGAAUAGGGCGUUUAGUACGUGGUCGUAGACCCGAAACCAGGUGAUCUACCCAUGUCCAGGGUGAAGUUCAGGUAACACUGAAUGGAGGCCCGAACCCACGCACGUUGAAAAGUGCGGGGAUGAGGUGUGGGUAGCGGAGAAAUUCCAAUCGAACCUGGAGAUAGCUGGUUCUCCCCGAAAUAGCUUUAGGGCUAGCCUUAAGUGUAAGAGUCUUGGAGGUAGAGCACUGAUUGGACUAGGGGUCCUCAUCGGAUUACCGAAUUCAGUCAAACUCCGAAUGCCAAUGACUUAUCCUUAGGAGUCAGACUGCGAGUGAUAAGAUCCGUAGUCAAAAGGGAAACAGCCCAGACCGCCAGCUAAGGUCCCAAAGUGUGUAUUAAGUGGAAAAGGAUGUGGAGUUGCUUAGACAACUAGGAUGUUGGCUUAGAAGCAGCCACCAUUUAAAGAGUGCGUAAUAGCUCACUAGUCGAGUGACUCUGCGCCGAAAAUGUACCGGGGCUAAAUACACCACCGAAGCUGCGGAUUGAUACCAAUGGUAUCAGUGGUAGGGGAGCGUUCUAAGGACAGUGAAGUCAGACCGGAAGGACUGGUGGAGUGCUUAGAAGUGAGAAUGCCGGUAUGAGUAGCGAAAGACGGGUGAGAAUCCCGUCCACCGAAUGCCUAAGGUUUCCUGAGGAAGGCUCGUCCGCUCAGGGUUAGUCAGGACCUAAGCCGAGGCCGACAGGCGUAGGCGAUGGACAACAGGUUGAUAUUCCUGUACCACCUCUUUAUCGUUUGAGCAAUGGAGGGACGCAGAAGGAUAGAAGAAGCGUGCGAUUGGUUGUGCACGUCCAAGCAGUUAGGCUGAUAAGUAGGCAAAUCCGCUUAUCGUAAAGGCUGAGCUGUGAUGGGGAAGCUCCUUAUGGAGCGAAGUCUUUGAUUCCCCGCUGCCAAGAAAAGCUUCUAGCGAGAUAAAAGGUGCCUGUACCGCAAACCGACACAGGUAGGCGAGGAGAGAAUCCUAAGGUGUGCGAGAGAACUCUGGUUAAGGAACUCGGCAAAAUGACCCCGUAACUUCGGGAGAAGGGGUGCUUUCUUAACGGAAAGCCGCAGUGAAUAGGCCCAAGCGACUGUUUAGCAAAAACACAGCUCUCUGCGAAGCCGUAAGGCGAAGUAUAGGGGGUGACACCUGCCCGGUGCUGGAAGGUUAAGGAGAGGGGUUAGCGUAAGCGAAGCUCUGAACUGAAGCCCCAGUAAACGGCGGCCGUAACUAUAACGGUCCUAAGGUAGCGAAAUUCCUUGUCGGGUAAGUUCCGACCCGCACGAAAGGUGUAACGAUUUGGGCACUGUCUCAACCAGAGACUCGGUGAAAUUAUAGUACCUGUGAAGAUGCAGGUUACCCGCGACAGGACGGAAAGACCCCGUGGAGCUUUACUGUAGCCUGAUAUUGAAUUUUGGUACAGUUUGUACAGGAUAGGCGGGAGCCAUUGAAACCGGAGCGCUAGCUUCGGUGGAGGCGCUGGUGGGAUACCGCCCUGACUGUAUUGAAAUUCUAACCUACGGGUCUUAUCGACCCGGGAGACAGUGUCAGGUGGGCAGUUUGACUGGGGCGGUCGCCUCCUAAAGUGUAACGGAGGCGCCCAAAGGUUCCCUCAGAAUGGUUGGAAAUCAUUCGUAGAGUGCAAAGGCAUAAGGGAGCUUGACUGCGAGACCUACAAGUCGAGCAGGGACGAAAGUCGGGCUUAGUGAUCCGGUGGUUCCGCAUGGAAGGGCCAUCGCUCAACGGAUAAAAGCUACCCCGGGGAUAACAGGCUUAUCUCCCCCAAGAGUCCACAUCGACGGGGAGGUUUGGCACCUCGAUGUCGGCUCAUCGCAUCCUGGGGCUGUAGUCGGUCCCAAGGGUUGGGCUGUUCGCCCAUUAAAGCGGUACGCGAGCUGGGUUCAGAACGUCGUGAGACAGUUCGGUCCCUAUCCGUCGUGGGCGUAGGAAAUUUGAGAGGAGCUGUCCUUAGUACGAGAGGACCGGGAUGGACGCACCGCUGGUGUACCAGUUGUUCUGCCAAGGGCAUAGCUGGGUAGCUAUGUGCGGAAGGGAUAAGUGCUGAAAGCAUCUAAGCAUGAAGCCCCCCUCAAGAUGAGAUUUCCCAUAGCGUAAGCUAGU